AGUUAACUUAAAAGACAUGUCUUGAAAACAUGUAAUAAAAUUAAUUUUUUAUUAACUU
rnacentral:tRNA from 1 species